AACGAACGCUGGCGGCAUGCCUAACACAUGCAAGUCGAACGAGACCUUCGGGUCUAGUGGCGCACGGGUGCGUAACGCGUGGGAAUCUGCCCUUGGGUGCGGAAUAACUUCUCGAAAGGGAUGCUAAUACCGCAUAAUGUCGUAAGACCAAAGAUUUAUCGCCCAAGGAUGAGCCCGCGUAAGAUUAGCUAGUUGGUGGGGUAAAAGCCUACCAAGGCGACGAUCUUUAGCUGGUCUGAGAGGAUGAUCAGCCACACUGGGACUGAGACACGGCCCAGACUCCUACGGGAGGCAGCAGUGGGAAUAUUGGACAAUGGGCGAAAGCCUGAUCCAGCAAUGCCGCGUGAGUGAUGAAGGCCCUAGGGUUGUAAAGCUCUUUUACCAGGGAUGAUAAUGACAGUACCUGGAGAAUAAGCUCCGGCUAACUCCGUGCCAGCAGCCGCGGUAAU
rnacentral:rRNA from 1 species